AAAGGACUUUGAAAAGAGAGUUAAAUAGGGCGUGAAACUGCACACUGAAAAGCGAAUGAGUACACAUGGGUUCGUGCUGCUAUUCAAGUGCGUUUGGUAGACUUUUAUGUAGGCGUUAAUGCAUAUCUUACUAGUUAUCAAACGUACUGCAUUUGGUGGCUUGACGUUCUGCUUGGCUUCAUGACAGCUGCAGCCACAGUGAAGUAAUCCUCUCCUUUUUGGGGAUGGAUUUGUCACUCGUAGCCUCGUUAUGUUAACAAUAGAGAAAAUCUGUUCUUGGACUGCUGUGUUCACUAAAUGAGGGCACAGUCGUCAGCUGGAAUGAAGUUUGAGAUACUCUGUGUCACAGAACCUCAAGAUGACUGUUUGGUUGAACGUGCUUUUGCACGUAAUGCGAUUUGGUUAUAUCGGUUAUGUGAAUGACUAAAGCAGAUUGUGUUGUGGCAUCAUUUGAACCGUCUUGAAACACGGGCUAAGGAGUUCAACAGAUGCGCGAGUUGGUUGGUUUUUCGAAAUCAUACGGCUAAGUUAACGCGACUUUGUGUAUAAUGGAGAGAACUUGUUUGCUUUUAAGUAUAACGAGAUCACCUCCUGUGAUGGAUGGCAUUUCGAGUACCGGUUGCUGUUCGCAGUCGAGCGCAUAUGCUGAGACCCGAAAGAUGGUGAACUAUGCCUGAGUAGGAUGAAGCCGGAGGAAACUCUGGUGGAGGUCCGAAGCGUUUUUGACGUGCAAAUCAAUCGUCAGACUUGGGUAUAGGGGCGAAAGACUAAUCGAACCAUCUAGUAGCUGGUUCCCUUCGAAGUUUCCCCCAGGAAAGCUGGUGCCAUGUUUGACAGUUUUAUCUGGUAAAGCGAAUGAUUAGAGGCAUUGGGGACGAAUUGUUCUCGACCUAUUCUCAAACUUUAAAUGGGUAAUGUACCGAUGUACUUCUUGAUAUCUUGAGUUCUCGGUCAAAUGCAAUGGCACCAAGUGGGCCAUUUUUGGUAAGCAGAACUGGCGAUGUGGGAUGAACCAAACGUUGAGCUAGGAUGCCCAAAGUGCUUCUCAUGAGAUACCAUGAAAGGUGUCAGUCGAUAUUGACAGCAGGACGGUGGCCGCAGAAGUAGGAAUCCGCUAAGGAGUGUGUAACAACUCACCUGCCGAAUCGACUGGUCCUGAAAAUGGAUGGCGCUGGAGACGUAUAUCCAUGCUCGACCGUCAAUGCCAAUUUAAGCGAUUGCUAUAUGGUUUGACGUGUAGAAGGGCGAUUGCCGUGGCGUCGAAACUUGCACCGUGAGGUGGGGUAGAGCUGCGGCAUGUGCAGAUCUUGGUGGUAGUAGCAAGUAUUCAAAUGAGAGCAUUGAAGACUGAAGUGGAGUAAGGUUCCAUGUGAACAUCAUUUGGACAUGGAUCAGCCGAUCCUAAGAGAACGUGUAAGUUCGUGAUUAAGCGCGUCGCCUUGUGCGUCGCAAUCGAAAGGGAAUCGGGUUAAUAUUCCCGAGCCAGGAUACGGAAUGUGUCUGAUUCAUCGAUAAUGCCUCGUGUAUUUUCGACUUCAGACAAGAGCGGCAACGCUAGCAAACCCAGAGAUUAACUAUGCGAAGUCCGGGGAAGAGUUUUCUCUUCUUUGUAAGGAAUGUUAUCCCUGGAAUCAGAUUGUCUGGCGAUAGGGUACGCAUUCCGUAAUGCAACGCGAUUCCUGCGAUGUACCGUGCACUUCGUAUAGUGCUUGAAAAUCUGGGGGGCGAGUUUGUUCAGGCCGUACCUGUUCGUACUGAUUUCCGCAGCAGGUCUCCAAGGUGAGCAGCCUCUAGUCRAUGGGACAAAGUAGACAAGGGAAGUCGGCAAAUUAGAUCCGUAACUUCGGAAAAAGGAUUGGCUCUAAAGGCUGAGUUGGUCGGGCGGUUGUGUGAAGCUGGAGGCGAAGCUAUGUCUCUGUCUCAGACUCAGUUCUCGCAAGGGAAACCGGGUCGAGGACGGAGCUUGGUCAACGCCCUCAGUGGACCGCGGUCGCUAUGCCACCCGUGUGUAAUUCUCAACGCAAGUCAAGAACCAUGCGACGUGGAUCCGAUCAGCGUUAAACAGCUGACCUAGAACUGGUAUGGACAAGGGGAAUCCAACUGUUUAAUUAAAACAAAGCAUUGCGAUAGCUGUAAUCGGUGUUGACGCGAUGUGAUUUCUGCCCAGUGCUCUGAAUGUUAAAGUGAAGGAACUCAUCCAAGCGCGAGUUAACGGCGGAAGUAACUAUGACUUUCUUAAGGUAGCCAAAUGCCUCGUCAUCUAAUUAGUGACGUGCAUGAAUGGAUUAUUGAGAUUCCUUCUGUCCCUGUCUGCAACCUAGCGAAACCACAGCCAAGGGAACGGGCUUGGAGAGUAACAGCGGGGAAAGAAGACCCUGUUGAGCUUGACUCUAGUCAGUCUCUGUGAAGAAACAUGAUGGGUGUAGAAUAGGUGGGAGGACGCAACAGUGAAAUACCACUACCAUCAUCGUUUCUUUACUUACUCAAUUGAUCAGGGAGCGUGAAUUCGCUAUUUGCGAUGUAUGAUUAUUCCUUUAGUGGAAUAAGUGUCUGGUUUGAGAACACAGACUGAUUGGGAGUUUGACUGGGGCGGUACAUCUGUUAAAAUCUAACGCAGGUGUCCUAAGGCAAUCUCAGCGUGGACAGAAACCUCGCAUAGAGCGAAAGGGCAAAAGAUUGCUUGAUCUUGAUUUUCAGUACGAAUAAAGACAAUGAAAGUUUGGCUUGUCGAUCCUUUUGAAUUUUACGAGUUUUAAGCAAGAGGUGUCAGAAAAGUUACCACAGGGAUAACUGGCU
rnacentral:rRNA from 1 species